rnacentral:rRNA from 1 species
AACGCAUUAAGCACUCCGCCUGGGAAGUACGGCCGCAAGGCUAAAACUCAAAUGAAUUGACGGGGACCCGCACAAGCGGUGGAUCAUGUGGUUUAAUUCGAAGCAACGCGAAGAACCUUACCGGCUCUUGACAUACCAAUCGCGGACUUAAGAGAUUAAGUCCUUCACCUCGGGUGGAUUGGAUACAGGUGCUGCAUGGCUGUCGUCAGCUCGUGUCGUGAGAUGUUGGGUUAAGUCCCGCAACGAGCGCAACCCUUACCUUUAAUUGCCAGCACGUUAUGGUGGGAACUUUAAAGGAACUGCCGGUGAUAAGCCGGAGGAAGGUGGGGAUGACGUCAAGUCCUCAUGGCCCUUACGGGCCGGGCUACACACGUGAUACAAUGGUAACUACAAAGAGCAGCGAUGGAGCAAUCUUCAGCUAAUCUCCAAAAGUUACCUCAGUUCGGAUUGCACUCUGCAACUCGAGUGCAUGAAGUUGGAAUCGCUAGUAAUCGUAGAUCAGCGCGCUACGGUGAAUACGUUCCCGGGUCUUGUACACACCGCCCGUCACACCAUGGGAGUUGGUUUUACCUGAAGCUGGUUUGCUAACCGUAAGGAGGCAGCCAACCACGGUAGGAUUAGCGACUGGGGUGAAGUCGUAACAAGGUACC